GCCAAAGUGGCAGAUUUAUGCAAUAGCUUUAAAGACUACCCAAGGCCUAGCCCUUUGGCU
rnacentral:tRNA from 1 species